CGAAAUCAUCGUUAGUAGCACCGGGGAGACUAUAGCCGGCGGGUUGGAGCUGCCACAUCCACCUUUUACUUCCAUUCCCUUUUCUGCGGAUAUGUGAAUCAACGUGCCAGGUUGGAUCAGUCUGCCCAUGAAACGCCUCCUCUGGUCGUCCCAUGGGCCUCGACUGCCCUUAGGUCUUCUUGGGUGGGGGCAAUCGCGUGGCCAUGGUUAAGGAGGCAAACCAGGUUUUCAACGGUGGUGGUCCCUGGUGGUCACACGUGGCGUUUCCAGCGUCCAGCCCUGCCACGAAUUGCUUGGGACCCCUUGAUGACAUUCCGGUUGCUUAUGGUUACUACAAAAUCGCUCUCCUGCUCAGCUCGCCUCAACUGCAACCCAUCAUUCUUCACGUGGGCCUUUCAAGUUAUGCUAUACAUGCUAUAAAAAAUUCACGGUUUGCGGCCAUCUCAGUGCUCGGAGAACAUGGUAGAUUGGCAGUCAUUUUCGCCAACAUUGCUGAAUUUUUCCAUAAACUGGACUUAUUUAGUCUUGAUGACUUAUCAAGAGCUCUUGAAGAUAAACUGAUAAAGUUCUGCCAAAAUGCAGAAAAUCUGCAGUCCCCAGGUCCAAUUUUGUCAUGCCAGACAACUUGCAAAGACACAUCUAAAAGUAGAGCAGUCAUCCUUUAUAUACACCAUGGGAAGAAAGCCAUACUUGCAGAAGUCCCGCCUCCUAAAACAUACCUUGUUGAACCUGCCAGAGGGGAUUCCCAAUAUGCUAGACUCCUGUACAUGCUCAGAAGAGGACAAAUUAAAGGCGCAAAACUUCAGCUCGAGCAAGACAUUCCUCUAACUUCUAAACGAAGAAAAAAACUUUUGUCUUUAGCAAUUGCUAGGGGCUACACAAAUAUUGUUGAGAUCCUCCUACAGAGAAAAACCGGUGUCUCAGAUAUCCAUUUCAAACUGGCCGCAAGAUACAGACGAAUCCACACAGCAAGGCUGUUAAUGAAACAGAAAAGACAAAUGAAAGCAGAAAAAGCUAAUGUACUUCGAACUGAAGCCGAGGACUAUGGAAAUAAUGCCAUUGUGCAACUGGCCACUAAACACGCCUGCAAACUUCCUUCCAAAAGCAACUUCCAAGACAAAUGGAACGAAAUUGAAGCCAAAUACAACAAAGAAUGGCAGAGGGUCACCAGUAAGAUCUUGAAGUUUAACGAUGUCCAGUGCUUGCGCGAAUUCAUCGUAGACAACAUAAACUUCAUUCACUACCAGGACCACAAAGGACUCACGCCGCUCCACGUGGCGGCUGAACAGGGUCACGAGCUCUGCGUGAAGGAGCUCCUGGAACACGGCGCCUUGCCCAAUGCACGCACUAACGACCUCAAGACCCCAGCUGACCUCGAAAACUCCCAGGGCCACUGGAGGAUAGUAAAGAUCAUAGAGAGAAAGAUCCAAGUCGGGGACAGUGGAAAGAGUCGCAAAGACGUCUCCAAACGAUACUUCCGUCUUCUGGAGGCAAUAUCCAAGGGUGGGAAAAUCUUUGCAAAUGAUACAGAAGAAAAGGCAGCAAGAGUCGAGUUGGUGAAGACUGUGACAUCACUGCUUGCAACCGGAACGCCUCUCGAAUUUUGUGGACCCUUUAACAACAGUGCUCUCCUGCUCGCCAUUUCCACCAACAGCACACCGCUUCUUCCCCUGCUGUUGGCUGCUGGGGCUCCUCUCACUGCUACCACCUCCGGUCUCGGACCCCUCCAACUGGCAUGGAUCACUCCAGGGGUAACACCUUGGGUCAGUGUAGUGGUGGCUAGGGCUAUCCGGCAUAAACUCAGAGUCGAAAUGGACUUCUCUCCUGAAAAUCCCAUGGAACAGAUGUUAAAGUCAGGCAUAAGUGAUCUGUUACAGCAUCUGGAAGGAAGGAAAUCCUGGAAAGCAAAGUUCAAUAGUGCAAAGAACAACUCUGAACACCUUACCCAGUUGUUGGUUACAGCCUGCAAGCGUGGAGCCACUACCUCUGCCUGGUGGGUGUGGCAAGCAGGUGGCAGCCCUGUUUCAUCCAUCCCUUCCACCUCAGCCCUCCAUGCAGCACUUAACCCUGAGCAGCCUCACUUGGAUACGGCAAGAACGCUUACCAUCCGCAUGGGGUGCAAUCCCUUCCUGCCAGGUGAAGAUGGUUCACUCCUCUUCGACAACAUGCCGUUGGAGUUUCGGAAGCAACUACUGCAGGAUUCUCUUGUAAGGGAGUACCGGUGCCUGUACACGGAGAUGGCAAAGGCACGGCGCCACAGAAACAGAAAAAAAAUCAUAAACCUCCAGCGUCUUGUAGUUCUGCAGAUUCUUCUUUACAUUCAGUACGAAAUGCACAGCGAAGAAACAUCUUACCCUUUCCUGCAAGACCUGUUGACAUGUAGCGAGUUGGAGCUAACGGGAAAUCAAGAGGAAGAAUUGCAUGAUUUAAAUGAAGAAUGGAUUACAAGUUUUAUCAGGAAACUUGAUGCUGAUUGUGAAGGUAAGACUACAUCUGACUCACUCAGCGAGGAUGAAGAGGAUGAAUUCUAUCAAUUAUCUGAAUGCCUGAGGUUGUUCUCUAGAAGGAAACGCAAAGGCAGUGAAUAUAACAUCAAACAUGACUGCCUCGACCUUCUCUAUAAAAAAGCACUGACAAUGUGUAGUAAAGAAAAUCUUACUGCAUUCCUUUAUUUGCUAGUCAGUGUGGCAGGGGUCCAUGUAAAUGGGGAAGUGGAUCCUAUAUGUGGCACACAAGCUCUUCAUCACGCAGCCCUGCAUGGUAACCUGUCCAUAGCAAUGUCACUGGUCUGCUUUGGAUGUUCUAAAGAAGCAAGAGAUCAUGGGAGAAACACGCCUUCGCACUAUGCCUACAUGGCUGGCCAUACGGAAGUUGCACAAUUUCUCGCAGAUGGUAUUGAAAAUGAGGUAAAUAACCGUGAGUUACGACCGUAUGACAUGUUUGAGCGUUACAACACCUACCUUGACCAGCAAAGUCUCACUCUUGUAAGUAGUAUAAAUGAGGAACAGGAAAUAUUUAAUGACAGUAAAACACUAAUUGAACUUCAUCUUCACCAUCUUCGAGAGACUUGGGAAGCCAAAGGGGGUCUCAUCAAAACAGUUAAAGAUACUCAUGUGGAUUUUACAAAGGGCGAAUCUUUAGAAGUCAAACAAGCCAUCACAAAAGUAGCCGAAGACCUCAUUUCUGAAAUUGCCAAAGUCAACAAGAUCUUUGAGGGAGACCUUGUUGGUGUAGGGAGUGCUGCAGAUGAUGCUAGAAUGUUCUGCCCUGACGAAUAUGACUUCAAUCUUGUUUUAAGAAACAUAAGUGGUCACCCGGGAGGAGGUCUCAAAUUUGAGCUUCAGAAUUCCCCUGAAAGGGUACUAUUUCAGAAACACAUAGAAUUGUCAGCUGAAAGAGAUGAACUCGAAAAUCUUAUGGAUGGAUCUAAUUUCACUGAUACGUUUUAUAACACAGCAAAAGAUUGCUUGAGAAACUUGAGGCUUGCUGAUGACAGGCUCAUCUUCAUCUCUCCUGGGAUCAAGAACACGCAGGUAGGUAUUAAUUUGUGCAUGGUAUGGAUGGGCCAAGAGUUCCCUCUCUUGAUGAUAGACGUGGAUAUAGUUCCAACAGUAGAGGCACCUUGGCCCCAACAACACCCACGGCCCCUUCUCACUCCCUCAGACAUGAACACAGUUUAUCUCAGCAACACAACUAGGAAAGAAUGGAGAUUUUCCUUCGGUGUUGCCGAAAACCAGAUCAUGAAAAAACUGAGUGAUCAUCAGAGAAGAGUGUUCUUGGGCUGUAAAUUACUUUUAUCAUCACUUAGGGUAUCAUGGUGGGUGCCAAAGGAGACCAAGAAACAGUUCACUUUUUGGGAUAAACGAGUAUUUCGACUCUCAGUUCCUGCAGGUUUUGUCUUGAAGAAUGUGUUUUUCGAAGAACUUCAGGAUGUGCAAGAUGAAGAUCUCUGGACAGAAGACCAUCUUUUGGAUAGAAUGAAGUCCGGCUUCAGCCGCAUGUGUGAAGGUAAGAGUGAUCCUAAAUGCCAAAUGCCACGCAAGGUGAUGGCCUAUUUUGGAGGCAAUACUCAGCUCCCGUCAUUUGCACUCCGAGCCCCAGAUAUUCUAGCUUUCCUAAGGUCAUUAGAUGCUUUACCAGUCCAGCCCAAUUCUAAAGUGUGAAUGUGUUCAGAGUAAGUUGGUUUGGAGGUCAUACUUUUUUGGUUAGUAUUAUUAUUAUUAUUAUUUUAUUUAUUUUUUUAUUUCUAAAGACUCUUUUUUUCUUAGAAGUUAUACAUUUUCAUCAGAGGAAUACUCAAACUGUUCAUUUUGUAGAUUAGUUUAUUGUAAUGAGUAUUCCAAUGUACAGGCAUGACACCAUCAGCAGCUUGUAACCAAGAAACUCUAAAAGGAAUACAGACUUGUAUUCAUUACUGUUUUCUUGUCUCUAUCAUAUGCAUUAUAAGUAAAGGUAACUUUUCAUUUUUAAUUACUAACAUGUCAGCUACAAGAAAUCUUAUUAUCUAAAUAUGGCGAGUUACGGUUUAGCGAGAGCAAACAGGUGUUUUGGAAAGAAAGAAUUACAAUGACUUAUAACUAAUGAUUAUGAAUCUGACGCAAUAUGAUAUGCUGAUCCGACAUUGUGUUAUCAAGCAAUAUUUACAGCAAAGGGAGAAAGACUCUGACCUUUUGCAUCGUUUGUUGGGAAGAGUUUUCUUUCCUUGUUCUUGUUUUUGCCACCAUGAGCAAUGUGCCUACUUUUAUCAGUUACACAAAAUCAGGUAUUGUAAAAAUCCUGUAACAGAGGCUUGUGGAUUUAGCUGCCAUGUCUGGUAUUUUUUUUCUCUCUCUUUCUUUUAAUAGCUUGUGAAUCUUUUAAAUCAUAGAGUCCUUCAGGCUUUUUUGUGAUUUAUAUGUCAGCUGUUUUCUAAAUCAUAUCUUUUCAUCAAGAACUUUUAAUACCAGGCAUUCAUAAUGAUUGCAUUAUACUGAUGCCAUUGUUACUGCUUACAGAUAUUUCAGUGUGAUUAAGAAAGCAUCCAUAUCUGUGUGGAAUGAUGAUUCAUGGAAAUGACAGAUUGGGAUUUUUCUUCUACAGUGGUUUGUCUUUCUGAAUUUCACAACAAUUAUGAGCAUCGUUAAUCAGAUCUGUGUUCAUUUUAAGGUAAGUGAAAGCCGGGAACCUUUGAUCUUCACUAUAGUUAUCGUGACAUUCGUUACAAUUAACCUUUCAUGUGUUUUCUUUUGUGAUUAUUGCAGAAAGAAUAAGCUUGAUCUCUUAUGAUUGUUUUCUUUUUUAUGUGAUGAAAACAAUAGGAUGCAUUUUGUGGUAAAAUUAGUGAUAUUAUAAAGUUCAUAUCAAUUUUAUUUCCACUUGAGUUGAUUUUUUAUGAGAUUAAUUCUGUAAUGAUCAUUAUAGUUUCAUACAGAAUUAUACUAUUGUAUAUUUUACAGUUACAUAUUUCACGAAAAUUUUCUCAUUUUUUAGAUAAGUAUUACCAUUUCCUAUAUAUUUGUUACAAAAAAAAAUCGAUGAUAGAAAACAUUUUUACACAACCAUGACACAGGCAAGUGUUAAAUGCGAAGAAUAGCCUCAAACCUAUCAGGUCACAAGGCAUACUAUACAAAGCCUAUAGGUAUCAGUAAAAGGAAUGAGGAUCUAGGGGCACUUCUAUUGGCGUGAUCCGUGACGCGUUUGUAUUCGAAACAUUAACCUCACGUGUUCACUGUAUGUAUAAUAAGAUCUGUUACAUCAGUGAAUAUCAGAUAGAACAAUCAGAUUUGUUUAAGUAUUUUGCUGCUAGUUUUGAGACAGGAUUUGCCAAGGCCAAGAAGGAGGUUUGCAGCUUCACACCCAAAUUGAUUAUGAACACUUGGUAUGUAUGUGCACAUGUGCCUAUUUGCUCUGCUAUUAAUAUUUCAUGGUUAUUAUAAAUGAUUAUGUUAAGCCUUUUAGUACAUGUUUUUUUCAAUAUUUAUGGAGAUAUUUUUUGCAAUGGAAGCUUUAUAGUAAUUGUUAUUUACUUUAAUUUACUCAGAAACAUGUUUUACAUUUACACAGAAACCAGAUUAGAUAUGGUGUUGAUUACUGAUUAUCAUCAUUUGGAGUUGAAAACAGUUUGCUCUUCUGGAACGACAUCGAUAUUAAAAGAAAUACAUAAAGUAGUUGGCCAAAUUUUCGAUUUUUUGGGAUGCAUGGUAAAACAGCUACGAUACAAAAGCUUUUUUUUUUUUAUUGAUAUAAUAUGUGUAAUAUGAGAGCAUUCUUGUUUUUUGACUUUUGCACACUGUCGUUUCCUUACUAUAACGAAAUCACAGUAGGGAAUACGUUUCGAAGAGUGACUGGAGAUAAUGAAGACAGACACUUCACACGACAGGGAAAUGAAUGUCGGACCACCAAGACUAGACACACACAACAGACAUUUGAUAUAUAUUAAAGCUGACUUAACAUGUAUAUACAUAUUAUUAUUAGCAACAAAUGAUAUCAUCGUCCAUUUUAUCUAUGUAUAUGUUUGCGUGUGCUUGAUGAUAAUCAUGUUGACAAGUGUUAUCUGUAAUAAGUUAGAUUUCCACGAUAAAAGCUGUUCAAAUGGACUACGUGGCACAGAGUGGGGCAAAAAAUUCAAAGUGUGUUAUCUUGUUUGGGCAUUAGAUAAGACUUGUUACGUUCAAUUCGUUGUACCUGUAAAUGAUUGACAUUUUAUAACAACAAACUGCAAAAUGGCGUUCUACUGACUUUUUUCAUGGUUUUGGUUUUAAGAUGUGUUUUUAAAAAGCCUUAUUUUCAUCUGUUUUUACACAUAGGUAACUGCUCCUAAAAUAAUCUGAACCUUGGUGACUCUUUAUAAAAACUGUAAUAAAGGAAAUUAUGAUAUUCUUCA
rnacentral:misc_RNA from 1 species